rnacentral:rRNA from 1 species
UGGGGAAUAUUGCACAAUGGAGGGAACUCUGAUGCAGCGACGCCGCGUGAACGAUGAAGGUCUUCGGAUCGUAAAGUUCUGUUGCAGGGGAAGAUAAUGACGGUACCCUGUGAGGAAGCCCCGGCUAACUACGUUCCAGCAGCCGCGGUAAUACGUAGGGGGCUAGCGUUAUCCGGAUUUACUGGGCGUAAAGGGUGCGUAGGUGGUCUUUCAAGUCGGUGGUUAAAGGCUACGGCUCAACCGUAGUUAGCCUCCGAAACUGGAAGACUUGAGUGCAGGAGAGGAAAGUGGAAUUCCCAGUGUAGCGGUGAAAUGCGUAGAUAUUGGGAGGAACACCAGUAGCGAAGGCGGCUUUCUGGACUGCAACUGACACUGAGGCACGAAAGCGUGGGUAGCAAACAGG